rnacentral:rRNA from 3 species
AACUUUCAACAACGGAUCUCUUGGCUCUCGCAUCGAUGAAGAACGCAGCGAAAUGCGAUAAGUAAUGUGAAUUGCAGAAUUCAGUGAAUCAUCGAAUCUUUGAACGCACCUUGCACCUUUUGGUAUUCCGAAAGGUAUGCCUGUUUGAGUGUCAU